rnacentral:rRNA from 1 species
ACGGAAGGCAGCAGUGGGGAAUAUUGCACAAUGGGCGAAAGCCUGAUGCAGCGACGCCGCGUGAGCGAAGAAGUAUUUCGGUAUGUAAAGCUCUAUCAGCAGGGAAGAUAAUGACGGUACCUGACUAAGAAGCACCGGCUAAAUACGUGCCAGCAGCCGCGGUAGUACGUAUGGUGCAAGCGUUAUCCGGAUUUACUGGGUGUAAAGGGAGCGUAGGCGGUUUUACAAGUCUGAUGUGAAAGCCCGGGGCUCAACUCCGGUAUUGCAUUGGAAACUGUAGAACUAGAGUGUCGGAGGGGUAAGUGGAAUUCCUAGUGUAGCGGUGAAAUGCGUAGAUAUUAGGAGGAACACCAGUGGCGAAGGCGGCUUACUGGACGAUUACUGACGCUGAGGCUCGAAAGCGUGGGGAGCAAACAGGAUUAGAUACCCUGGUA